rnacentral:rRNA from 1 species
CACGCCGUAAACGAUGGAUACUAGGUGUAGGAGGUAUCGACCCCUUCUGUGCCGGAGUUAACACAUUAAGUAUCCCACCUGGGGAGUACGGCCGCAAGGUUGAAACUCAAAGGAAUUGACGGGGGCCCGCACAAGCAGUGGAGUAUGUGGUUUAAUUCGAAGCAACGCGAAGAACCUUACCAGGGCUUGACAUACCAUUGACACACCUAGAGAUAGGUGCUUCCUUCGGGACAAUGGAUACAGGUGG